rnacentral:rRNA from 1 species
GACGAACGCUGGCGGCGUGCUUAACACAUGCAAGUCGAACGGUGAAGCGCCUUCCUUUUUGGUGGGUGUGGAUGAGUGGCGAACGGGUGAGUAACACGUGAGUAACCUGCCCCCUUCUUCUGGAUAACCGCAUGAAAGUGUGGCUAAUACGGGAUAUUCUGGGUCUGUCGCAUGAUGGGUCUGGGAAAGAUAUUGUUUCGGUGGGGGAUGGGCUCGCGGCCUAUCAGCUUGUUGGUGGGGUGAUGGCCUACCAAGGCGGUGACGGGUAGCCGGCCUGAGAGGGUGGACGGUCACACUGGGACUGAGACACGGCCCAGACUCCUACGGGAGGCAGCAGUGGAGAAUAUUGCACAAUGGGCGCAAGCCUGAUGCAGCGACGCCGCGGGAGGGAUGGAGGCCUUCGGGUUGUGAACCUCUUUCGCCAGUGAAGCAGGCCUGCCUCGUUUGUGGGUGGGUUGACGGUAGCUGGAUAAGAAGCGCCGGCUAACUACGUG